GCCCGACGUAACCACUUUUCAAUAAUUAAAAUAGUGGAUGGCUGCAACCAAUUUGCUUUAUUAUUUUUGUCUCCUUUUGAUGUUUUAGUGAUACAACUCAUCAUCUAACUCAGAAGCGAAAAUUAUUCUUGACCCGAAAAGCUUGAAGUGAUAGAUUGCUCAAGAAAAUUAUGCGAGCGCGAAGUUAUAAUAUAGCGUUGAGGAUUCCGCAUCUGCAAUUCAAGAUGUUAUGAAAUGUUACUUUAAUUGAUACUCCCCUCCAAGAUGGCUGCAGUACCACCAAAACCCAUUAGAGAUUUGGACAUCUUAACAUCAGCGACUUGUGACCAGCGUUAAUGUAGACAGCCAUAGUCGAGAGUAUUGCACAAAUUGACUGAUGACAAAUUAAUGCAACCUUGUGGAAAUUGUUGGCUGUGGUCAUGUCCAUGUCUAUAAGUAAUGUUUCAAGUGCUUUCUGUAUUUUAUGUUUUUAAAGUGUUUGCGUGUACGUUAGAGUUUUUUGUUUCAACACAAAUACAAAUUAUAAAUUUAUUAUGAUUUAGCGUGUGUGACUUCUCCUCCAUGCAGUUAUGCUAGCUCAAUGUCUUCAACUAAUAACUCUGGCAUUCAAUAAAUAAUAAUUGACAAUAAAAUCUUUC